GUUCACGUUAGAUAGAAUUCCCUUUAUGAUUCCAGUCGACAUCUAUUUAUUAAGAUGAAGUGGCUCCUGGCCUUGUACAUUUUUUCUUUCUCUUUCUACUCAGUCUCUAUGUUGCAAUGUUUGAAAUGCAAAAGUGAAUCAGCUCAAUGUAUCGACAAUGAGAUACAACAAUGUAAGCCAGAUGAAUUAUGUGUUUCUGCAAUAUACAGAAUUAUUUUUUCAGAAAUGAAUAAGAAUGAAACUGGAAUAAAACGUGAAUGUAUUGAAAGAAAUAAAUGCGAUGACUUUGACAGAGUUGGCACAGAUAAAUUUUACUCAGCAAAUGUUGGAGGGUUACAUGGCUCAGUCUACUUUUCCUGUUGUGAGUCUGAUAACUGCAACAACUUUACCUUCCCUGAACCAGACACCAGGCCAAAUGGUCUGAAAUGUCUGACCUGCAAUAGCACCUCAGACUCAUUGUGCAACUCUACCAUUUCAUGUGUGGGGAAUCAAGAUCAAUGUUUGACAAUCAAAGAUUUAUUUUUCCCACUAGGAAUGAAGCACACCAUGGGGUGCAUCUCUAAAUCUUCAUGUGAUAUAUUUACCAAAAAUUUAGAUAAAGUUCAGUGCUGUUCAGAGAACUUGUGUAACAAGGUGUGAAGUCUGGAUCAGACUACAUUUCAGAAUUUAAAAAAAAAUCAACCCAUUAAUCAAUUAAAUAAACAAGCACAACUUUUUUUAUUGUUUUUAAAGUUUUUAUCUGUCCUUGGUUAAGGUUAGCAUGUCACAACUGUGAAAAGUAGAACAGUGAAAAUCAGUCUAGUAAUUGAUUUAAAUUUCCAUUCAGAGGAAAAUAUGAAAGAAGCUUAAUAUUUAGUUCUCAUUAGCAUUUGGUAUUUAUUUGUUUUCAGUACAUUAGUUUAAUACAGCAUUGAAACAGGUGUGUUCAUUUU